ensembl:lncRNA
ACUCUCACCCUCCGCAGAGGAGCGUACAGUGAAACUGACUGUUUUCACCACACUGAUCCACUUCAAUAAUCUUUACUAGACAGGGACUUGCACCAGCUUACAAUCACAGAAUCCUUCCAGAGUUGGAAGGUAUCUCUGAAGGCCACCUAGCCCAGCUCCCCUGCAGUGAGCAGGGACACCACAGCUAGAUCAGCUUGCCCAGGGUCUGAUCCAGCCUCGCCUUGAAAGUUUCUAGCUUCUCAAAGCUCUUCCAGAGAAAUAGCUCUGCACCGCAAUUAGCAGGAAGCCAAGCUGAAGAGGCACAGGUGAAGCGCCCGAGUGGUAGUUAUACAGCAAAGAACACAGCAGAAAGAUUUACAUUGCCACUCAGUGUUUACAUGAGAUGAAAGAGAGGUCCCUCGCUCCUUCUCUUGCCCCAAGCAAGCCCAGCUCAGGCAUCAGAUCAGGCUGCUCAGUGUGUUUGCCAGGCAGUUUUGAAGCUCUAUGAAGAUGGAGCCUGGACAGCUGCACUGGCAACCUACUCCGCUGCCUGACUGUCCCUCAGGAAUGAGCCAGCUAUUCUUAUGGUGGGGGUGAGAAGCCUGAUGUGAGCACACUGCCUGUAGGUUCCAUUGUUUGCUAGACCCACUGGUGAGCUGCUGCGGGCAUGAAGAAGUAAGUUGGAGCUUCCUAUUCCCAGUGCAAGGUUCAGUGAAAAGAGGCACUGACGGAGGCAUUCACUUGGAGAACUCACUAAGAAUUUCUGCCUCUGCCAUUGAACCAGACUGCAUUGGUUUCACAUGGACAAGGUUUAUGUUUUUGUUGCUCUCUCUUUUUUAGUGUUCUAAUAAAAAUACUAAGAAAUAAAAUGCUUUAUUACUUAUAUAUUAACUAUAGCAUAUAUUUUACAAGAGCUGCUC